UUACAACAGCUCAGUAGCACGUGGCUAACCUACCUUGGGACGGGAGCAACCCCGGGAAACUGGGGCUAAUCUCCGAUAGGUGAAGACUCCUGGAAUGGAUUUUCGGUCAAAGGGCGCUUAGGGCAUGCUUCUAAGUGUUGCCCAAGGAUGGGGCCGCGGCCGAUCAGGUUGUUGGUGAGGUAAUGGCUCACCAAGCCUUUAACCGGUGCGGGUCGUGGGAGCGGGAGCCCGGAGAUGGGCACUGAGACAAGGGCCCAGGCCCUACGGGGCGCAGCAGUCGCGAAAACUUCGCAAUAAGCGAAAGCUUGACGGGGCUAUCCCGAGUGCCAUCCGCUGAGGAUGGCUUUUCCCUAGUAUAGAUAGCUGGAGGAAUAAGGAGAGGGCAAGUCUGGUGUCAGCCGCCGCGGUAAUACCAGCUCUCCGAGUGGUGGGGAUGAUUAUUGGGCCUAAAGCAUCCGUAGCCGGCUGGGCAAGUCCCCUGUUAAACCCAACGAUCUAAUCGUUGGCCUGCGGGGGAUACUGCUCGGCUAGGGGGCGAGAGAGGCCGUCGGUAUUCCCGGGGUAGGGGUGAAAUCCUAUAAUCCCGGGAGGACCACCAGUGGCGAAGGCUGUCGGCUAGAACGCGCUCGACGGUGAGGGAUGAAAGCUGGGGGAGCGAACCGGAUUAGAUACCCGGGUAGUCCCAGCUGUAACGAUGCAGGCUCGGUGUUAGGGCGACCACGUGCCGCUCUAGUGCCGCAGGGAAGCUGUUACGCCUGCCGCCUGGGGAUACGCCGGGAAGGCUGACUUAAAGGCCA
rnacentral:rRNA from 1 species